rnacentral:rRNA from 1 species
UACGUAGGGUGCGAGCGUUGUCCGGAAUUAUUGGGCGUAAAGAGCUCGUAGGCGGUGUGUCACGUCGAUCGUGAAAACUUGGGGCUUAACUCUGAGCUUGCGGUCGAUACGGGCAUCACUGGAGUUCGGCAGGGGAGACUGGAAUUCCUGGUGUAGCGGUGAAAUGCGCAGAUAUCAGGAGGAACACCGGUGGCGAAGGCGGGUCUCUGGGCCGAUACUGACGCUGAGGAGCGAAAGCGUGGGGAGCGAACAGG